rnacentral:rRNA from 1 species
CCUACGGGGGGCUGCAGUGGGGAAUAUUGCACAAUGGAGGAAACUCUGAUGCAGCAACGCCGCGUGGAGGAUGACGCAUUUCGGUGUGUAAACUCCUUUUAUAAGGGAAGAUAAUGACGGUACCUUAUGAAUAAGCACCGGCUAACUCCGUGCCAGCAGCCGCGGUAAUACGGAGGGUGCAAGCGUUACUCGGAAUCACUGGGCGUAAAGGAUGCGUAGGCUGGAAAUCAAGUCGAGAGUGAAAUCCAACGGCUCAACCGUUGAACUGCUCUCGAAACUGAUUACCUAGAAUAUGGGAGAGGUAGAUGGAAUUGGUGGUGUAGGGGUAAAAUCCGUAGAUAUCACCAGGAAUACCGAUUGCGAAGGCGAUCUACUGGAACAUUAUUGACGCUGAGGCAUGAAAGCGUGGGGAGCAAACAGGAUUAGAUACCCGGGUAGUC